rnacentral:lncRNA from 1 species
GUAUCUUUUGUGCUACUUUGAUUUUUGCAACUUCCUUUAAGUUUGCAGUCACUUCCAAAUUGAAAACAAAAACAAGAAAACAUCUUUUCCUGGCCCUCAGUUGGUCCUCACCUACCCAGGGGGUCUCUGAGGCCUGGGAGCUAGGAUGGUCACCUGCUUUCUCCUGCUCCCCACUUGCGCCUCUCCUGGCAGGUCCCCAGGCCGAUGUCCCUGGCUCCCACCCAGCCCAAGCUGUGUUCACUCCUAGUGCUCAGUGGAUGGCCUCUCAGAGGUGUGAAACGGCUGUGAACUGCCUGGCCUCAGGGCUUGGGGGGCCUGAGCCCGGCCUCUUUCAUCUCAGCUUUGAAAUGGGCUCCUUGUCCAAGCCCAGGGCCGCCUGAGCCUUUGUAACUGGCCUGCUCUGGAGGAAGCAGAAGGACCUGCUCUCUCAUCUUUAGAUGGAAGUGGACUUGCUAUUUGAUUCCAUUUUACUCACAACUAUGUUUCAUGGUAGUUUGUGCUAUCAUAGUGGUGCUUAUGCUUCUCUCCCUUUCAUUUCUGCUGAUGGAAAACCAGUGACUGACUUUAGUGGUGCAAAGUCUAAAUCCAUGGGGUUCCAAGUGUGACAGUGCACACCUAUAAUCCCAGCACUCAGGAGGCUGAGACAAGGAGGAUCACUAUGAGCUCAAAGCCAGCAUGAAGUACAUAUCAAAGCCCUGUCUCAACAAACCAAAUCAAGCAAAAACCAUGGGCCAUGGGUGUAGACUAAUGUUUUGGGGAAGCAAUCAGAGAUUCCUUGGGGCUGAAGAAGAGGAGAGAGGGAAACCAUGGGGUGGGGAGGCUACAGGUGAGUCAGGCAAUGCACUUUGUUCUACAGGUGGUAGGAGCUGCACCUCAAAGUGAUAUAAACAACCAUUAGCACCAGCUGUCUCACCCAGCUAAGUCCAGAGGCACUGUGUCCCCAGGGACGCCUCUAGCAGCUCAUUGGCUACUUGACCUUGGGCAAGUUACAACCUGGGUUCCUUAUCUGUGACAAAAUUGUUGGUGUCAGAUGACUCAGUAUAAGUUAAACCAGCACCACCACCAGGUGCCUCACCCCGCACAAGUCUAGAGCCUGUGUCCCAUGGUCACACCACUUACUAGCUCAUCAGCUAUGUGACCUUGCACAAGCGACUUAACCUGAGUCUUCUUACCUGUGAAAAAGAGCAGUUGGCAUGGAAUGAGGGGUAACAUGAGUAAAGGUCAUUCCUGGCAUGGGGUGUUGUAUAGGUGUUUGUAACAACUGUAUCGGUCAGUUGUCACUGUAAGAAACACGCCAAACUCCCUAUGGUGUCAGCAGUGAACAUUUCUCCUGUGUCAAGGGUUGGGCAGGCUGGUUGCCGCUAAUUCACGCUGCUCAUGUAGCUGGGUCACCCCAUGUUCCUUCUGCACCCAGUGCAGUCACCAGGAACCUGCAGCUCUGGGGUGAUGUGAGGGCAAAGGGUGGCAGGAACUGGCAUGUCAUCAUGCUGCCCCCUUCCUGUGGGCCGAAGCUCAGUGUCAGCAGGGAGGGAAAACAUCAAGUGGACCAGGGAACAGAGAAUUAGAAACAGUGUACAAAGUGAACUGAAUCUGUAGAUGGAAGUAUUUUAUUGUUUAACAUUGUGAAAUUAAAAAAAUUUUUUUUUGAAAUUCAAAA